rnacentral:rRNA from 1 species
AUACCCGAUGCAUCCUUUUCCUGCAUGGGGGAAGGAGGAAAGGCGGAAGAAUCUGUCACUUGUGGAUGGGCCUGCGGCGCAUUAGCUAGUUGGUGGGGUAAAGGCCUACCAAGGCGACGAUGCGUAGCCGACCUGAGAGGGUGAUCGGCCACACUGGGACUGAGACACGGCCCAGACUCCUACGGGAGGCAGCAGUAGGGAAUCUUCCGCAAUGGGCGAAAGCCUGACGGAGCAACGCCGCGUGAGUGAUGAAGGUUUUCGGAUCGUACAGCUCUGUUGCCAGGGAAGAACGUCUUGUAGAGUAACUGCUACAAGAGUGACGGUACCUGAGAAGAAAGCCCCGGCUAACUACGUGCCAGCAGCCGCGGUAAUACGUAGGGGGCAAGCGUUGUCCGGAAUUAUUGGGCGUAAAGCGCGCGCAGGCGGUUCUUUAAGUCUGGUGUUUAAUCCCGAGGCUCAACUUCUGGUCGCACUGGAAACUGGAGAGCUUGAGUGCAGAAGAGGAGAGUGGAAUUCCACGUGUAGCGGUGAAAUGCGUAGAGAUGUGGAGGAACACCAGUGGCGAAGGCGACUCUCUGGGCUGUAACUGACGCUGAGGCGCGAAAGCGUGGGGGAGCAAACAGGAUUAGAUACCCUGGUAGUCCACGCCGUAAACCAUGAAUG